rnacentral:misc_RNA from 1 species
UUUCCGUAGGUGAACCUGCGGAAGGAUCAUUACUGAGUGAGGGCCCUCUGGGUCCAACCUCCCACCCGUGUUUAUUAUACCUUGUUGCUUCGGUGAGCCCGCCUCACGGCCGCCGGGGGGCAUCUGCCCCCGGGCCCGCGCCCACCGAAGACACCUAGAACUCUGUAUGAAGAUUGCAGUCUGAGCAAAAACUAAGUAAGUUAAAACUUUCAACAACGGAUCUCUUGGUUCCG